GUCAACCUACUCAUCCGCUCACCAGAGGUUCAACUUGGAUGAGUCGUUUAAAUGAGAUGAUUUUUUUCCAAUUCAACCCGGUCCAAAUCCGUGAUAGACUGAUUUGACCCGCAAAUUAUAACUCAUGUUCUAACAAAUAUCAACAAAAACUAUGAAAAAAAAAAGAGAAAAGAAAAAUAUUAGAUUCUAAAAUAAUUCUCAAAACUUAUAAAUAAAAUUACCAUUAUUCCAAAAGGAUCCAAAUAUUAAAA
rnacentral:lncRNA from 1 species